AACACUCUGGCGUUCCGUCAUUGGU
rnacentral:miRNA from 1 species